CCAAAAUACAGUUCUGGAAGGGAUUUCAAUGCCUGUCUACUAUGUGUCCGUGUAUGCAUGUUCCUGGGCGCUCCAAGCCAAGCACCCCCCAGCCCUGAUGUGCCCACCGCUCUUAUCGAGGUCCUAAUGAAGCCCCGCUCUCCCAGCGCAGAGCCCUUCCAACCCCAGGCUCUUGCAGGGACCAAGCCAGCAUCCUAAACCGCUUGCGCUUGUUCGGGCGGCUCCUCAGAGCAGGUCACCGAGGCACGGUGGAUGGCGGACAGACCUCGGGAAGCGGCCCCGGCUCUUUCCCCGCCAGGCCGGCGAUUCAGCGCUCCCCUAAGCCUGUUAGGGACACACUCUCAUGUCCUGAAAUGUGCAAGCAGAUAAUUGCCGGCGCUCUAUCUUUGUGUGAGGAGGCCAGGGUGUAAAUGGCUUUUAAUGACUGCAGCUGCUGGCUGCAAACUGUCAAUGGGAUCGCCUAAUGCCGAGCCCGGACCCGGCGGGCGCCGCGCCGCAGCCGGGCGGGCACAGCCGCCGGCCCCCGCCGCCAAAGGCGCGCAGCGGGCGCGCAGCGGGUGCGCGGGGCAGCGCGGAGCGGGAGCGCGCAGCGGGCGCGGCCGGCGGCAGCGGGAGCACGCCGGAGGACGGGGCUCGGCGCAGGCUGCCCGCUUGGCUGGGAAAAUCCUUUCCGGAUCCUCCUAGAGCCUCCUCUUCAGCGAAGCGCUUCCCCGAAGUUGGCCAUUCAGCGCCGGCCAGGAGCCGCGGUGGGAAGGGGGAGCCCGGUGAUGUCCCGGCCCUACCCGGACCAGGCCAGGCCAAGGGCUCUCUUGGCAUUUCUCACACUGGUGGUUCGCUCCGAGGAGGCGCGGGUGGGGCCCGAAGAUGUCUCGCCGGUAACCCCAAGCUGAAGAGGAUGUCCGGCGAGGAGGGAUCCGAGAUGCUCACCUCAGAAACACAGCAAAUAGAUAUUUAUUAAGAUUUCAUGCCGAACAGCGACAGCCUCCUCGACUGCUUAGUGUUGACAUAAACUUCCAGACGUCGAGCAUAUGUUGUUGCACAGCGUUGUUUAUGUGUGCUACCAGAUGUUGCUUUGCAUCCUAUUGUCUGGAGUCAAUGUUUAGUUCAGGUUAAAAUAUCUUUACUUAAACUGCUCAGUUGGCCAUUGUGUGAGCAUUAGUGAAGUGUCAUGGAGAGGUAAUGGGAAGUCCGGGGAGGUUAGCUCUCC
rnacentral:lncRNA from 1 species